rnacentral:lncRNA from 1 species
CACAGGAAAAUGCUGGGCUUCGGGUUCCUCUCAGCACCCACCUUAAUGGCUGGGUGUCUGGGGCCCAAAGUAGGGCUACCAUUCCUCCUUCAGCACCUUGUCACCUGAGAGAUGCUUUUCCUCUUUUGCCACAUACCCACAGGCAUAACUCUAUUUUUUGUGAGACAAUAAACAUCCUUGUCCUAAAUCCUGGUGGAACCAUUGGAGAGCAUGUCGUAUCAUGGGAUGUGAUACAUUCUUUGCUCUUGAGGUUUCUACCUGGCCAACUCUGUCAAUCUGCCCUCAGUACAUUUGGUACUUACAGCCUCAGGGAGUGGGUGACUCAGCAGAAACUGAGCAAAGGCGUGUCUGCUCUUGGCUUUGGAGUUUCAACAUCUUCGGCCUCAGGGGGAGGCAUAAAUAAUAGAUGUGGGAGAAAGGUUGGGAAGAAGGAAGAUUCUGGACCAGGCGAUGGAAAGGAUUCCCCUGGUUCCUUCUCCAGAGGGAGAAGGGAGAGAGAUGGAGACUCACAGAAUAUUAGGCCACUGAUUUCAAUGCUAAUCUCUUCUGGAAACUCCUUCACAGGGACGCUCCAGGUCCCUAUCAAGUUGACAUGGAACAAUAACCACCACAAGGGUCUCCCCUGUGGCAGGUGGCUGCCAUAUUGAAUGCACAUCUCUGGCUUUUGCACUGAGGUGUCCACAGCCGCUCCUCAGUUUCCCUCCCUGAGAAGGAGUGUGGAACAUAAAGCUAGAAGGAGACGGAGUCCUGCCUCCAGUUUGCUGUGUGACCUUGGGUAAGUCUCUUGACUUCUCUAAGCGUUUCUUAACAGUCAUCCCCUUCCAUUAAAUAAACCCUGUGCCUCCACUCCCCGUGCUCCGUGG